ACCGCAUUAGUGUAACCUGGUUAGCACCUAUGGUUGUGGCUCAUAGAGUCCGGGUUCAAAUCCCGGGUGUGGUC
rnacentral:tRNA from 1 species